rnacentral:lncRNA from 1 species
GGGGUCAGUGCUUAUGGGGAAAGGGGACCCCACAACACCUGGUUGGGCGAGUAGUGGUGAAUGUGAGAGGCUGUCCAAUGAGGAGGUGGAGAAGGGAGGUGAUGUUCCUCUGAUACCUUCAUUGCCAGUGUCAGCUGCAGAUGGUGAAAAGAUAUUGAGGUCAAUUGGUGGCCCUGUUGCUCAGGAUGAUUGGCAGGGAAGCAUAGAUGCACCUACUUACAGGGUUGGACCAGGACCAGGGAUUCUCAACCUCAGUUACAUGGUACCUUAUCGAGUGGUAGUUUCAGUGCAAACAUCAUAUGCAAAAGCCCCUCCAGUCAAACAAGAACUAGAUUGAUUAGUAGAUUUUUGGAUAUUGCUUUUGCAGGGACAGGAUAUUAUAGCCACAAUUCAAAAUGUUAUUGGUGUGAUUGAAGGAGAAGAAGAGCCUGAUCGGUAUGUAUGCAAGAAUUCCACCCUUACCAUUUGCAUUCAAUGGCAAUGAAGGUUGUGAACUUAGAAAAUUCAUAUUCUUGUUUUAUUGAGCUUUUCAUUUAAUCACUUAUGCAACUGCUUGUAGAUAUGUCAUUCUAGGAAAUCAUAGGGAUGCAUGGACAUUUGGAGCAGUUGAUCCCAAUAGUGGAACUGCAGCACUACUUGAGGUAAGAUUUGUGUAACACGGAACAAUGGCUGACAACUGACACCUGCAAUUUGUGGCGGGGCUGCCACUAUUCUGUGGUACACAAAUCAUGUUUGACUUUGUAGACAUAGUGUUGUUGUUUCAAGCCAUACCAUUAAAAUGGACACACUCCUGAAAUUCAGGUUGCCGAAAGAUUGGGGAAGCUUCAAAAGAAAGGGUGGAAACCUAGAAGAACCAUUAUCUUAUGCAAUUGGGAUGCUGAGGAAUACGGUCUUGUAAUUUUCUUUCCCUCUCUCUUUUCUCUAUUUUGUUAGGCACAAUGGUUCUCUUACGCCCGGUGAAUGUUUGUUACGAUCGUCCCCUCCAGAUAGGAUCAACGGAAUGGGUAGAAGAGAACAGAGAAAUUCUUGCUUCAAGGGCGGUUGCUUACUUAAACGUUGACUGUGGAGUAGCUGGACCUUGGUUUCAGGCCAGUGCCACACCACAGCUUGAUGAAUUGAUCAAAAGAGCAACUCAGCAGGUAUCACAACAAAGUUGGAAUAAAAGACAACUAGAAUAAGUUCUUUGAUGAGCACCCGUUUAAUAUGAAUUUUUUCUUACAUGGCUUUGAAUCAAUCACGUAGUGGGUAACAAUAUAUGGAGUGGAUAAAAUGAACGGGGAGUGGAUAUAACAAAACGUACUAUUCAGCAUUUCUCUAAAGAAGAUACAUGAAAAUAAAGCAUGAUGGUGGCACCAACCACUUUUGCAUUUUCUUUUUCUGUAGGUUAAAGACCCAGAUAACUCAUCUCAGAGCAUGUAUGAAUCUUGGAGUGGUUCAAGUAGUUCCCCUCUGGUAAGCAUAUUGCAGUUGUUUACAUGUUUACAUUAUAAACCCAACUAAAUGUUUUGGGGUAGCACUGAGGAGAAACAUUCAGUGCUCUACUUUUAGUAUCAACAAUAAUGCCAGUGGUUAGUGGGGAGUAAACUUUAGAUUAGCUGUAUAACUGAACAUCUAUCUAUGCUAAAUCAAUUUCUCUACUUUAAAAGAUUGGAAGGUUAGGAGGUGCAGGAUCAGAUUACGCAGCAUUUUUGCAGCAUGUGGGAAUUCCAGCAGCUGACAUAGCCUUUGGAGGGGGUAAAUACAAAACUCAUUCUUUUAAUCAUCAAUAUACAGAUAUAUAAUAAUCUCAUUUCUGUUAUUCUUGUCCUUGUUUAAUAAAUGGUUUCUCAUGAACAAAAUGAAAAAAAAAAAUUAUUAGUUAUAUAGCACAAGCACAAUUCAAAUUCCACAUGCUAAGGGGAAAUCAUUUUUUUCACACAGAUUCUGCAACUUACCCAGUAUACCACUCAUUAUAUGAUGAUUUCAUCUGGAUGCAAAAAUUCGGUGAUCCUAUGUUUCAACGGCAUGUUGCAGGUUGGUCUCGUAAAUUUCUUUUACAAUUUCUAUCACAGUAAACCCUAUCUCAAUAGACUCUAGUGACAUCUAUAUGAAUGGAAGCUCCAAUUCAGUUACAUAUCCUCAGUGUAUUUGAAAAUUAUCAACAGUUUGAUACAUAUGAUAUGAAUUUCUUUUCUAAUUAUACAAUUAAAGAUGGGAAGUUUUUUGCACCAUUUUUCAAUAAACAAAAGUAUGCCUUAUUACCUAAUUAUGACCACUAUUUACUGCAUGCUUAUUACUUAGUGUUUAUGUUCUGUAAAACAGCUGCAAGUGUUUGGGGUCUAGUAGCACUUUGGUUAGCAGAUGAGGAAUUCAUACCUUUUGAUUAUGUUUCCUAUGCUAAGGAGCUCCAGGUGUGCACACCUUAGAUUCUAAUAUAAUCAAACAUUAUACAAAAUAUAUUCUCACCAAGAGUAUGAAGAUUCUUACAACACAAAACAUCUUAAUCACAGCUUAGCGUUAAGGUACUGGAAAAUGAGAUUUCAAGCAAAGACAUAAAUUUGACUCCUAUGUUCACCUCCAUCAAGGAACUUGAGAAAGCAGCAACCAUGAUAAAGAACCAAAGAAAGGUAUGUCAUAAUUCUUCAAUACCUCUUUUAGGAGGGAUAAGAAGUACAAAGAUUGAAAUUUUGAUCUUUUAGGAAUUAGCAGCAAGUAAAGGAUGGACAACAAGGAAGGAGAACCAUUUGAAAGUGAGAGAGUUGAAUGAUAGACUGAUGAUGGCUGAGCGUGCAUUCACUGACAGAGAUGGUCUGUUUGGAAUGUCCUGGUACAAGCAUUUGGUAAGUGUUUUUAGAGUGAAUUUGAAAGUGUAAGCGUCAAGCAGAUUAGUCCCUAUAAGAAUGAAGUAAACACUCCAUGUGGUCCCUAAUUGUGUCAAAUGUCGGUCAAAUUUGUUUGACGUUUUAUCUAACCAUAGGGACUGACUAUUCCGACAUUUGACAUAAUCAGGGACUGUAGGGUAUUCCCUUCUUCUAGGUACUAACUUGUUUGACGCUUAUCCUUUCAGGGACGAAAUUGGGCAUUCACUGUGUGUUUUUUUACAAAGCAUUUGGUGAUGAAACUAAUGGAUCAAAUUGGCAAUGACUUCUCUUUUAGCAUCUCUAAUUUCCAGUCUUAAUCUAAUUAUCUAGCAGAAACUUUUUGUCUAAGUAGCUGAAACAUUCAAUUGUCUUCUAGUAUUCCUUUUUAAUUUUAUUUCCGGACAUUUUUCAGAUAUAUGGACGAUCGAAACACAAUGGUUACGGCUCCCAAUCUUUCCCUGGAAUUGAUGAUGCAGUAAUAAUAGCAAAAGAUACACAGACUGUAGAGUCAUGGCAUCGAGUACAACACGAAGUAUGGAGAGUCUCAAGAGUUAUCAGACAGGCCUCGUUAGUUCUCUCAGGUCAACUGACAUGAAAGUCAACUGCACUUUGCAAUUUGAAUCAUUAGUUGAAACUUGAAAGUUAAUUUCCUAUUCAUGGUACAAGGUGUCACUCUUUCUAUGAUGAGAAGCUAUGUGCUUCCCUGUUCUGAAUUUGUAAUAUUACUUCUGUAAUGUUUGCUUGCUUUAUCUAUUAUUUACUAGUUACUACCUAUUAUAAUACAUAAUUCCUACCAUGCAUGUGUUUCCUGUACAUUUCAGCAAUGAUCUUUGAUAUUCUUUUUGUCACUCCAGCAUUUUCUCUUUAUUCUUUAGUGUUAGCUUUUUAAUCCAGUUCUCAGUUUCUACACUCCUACAGACCAUGACAUUUUCUUCCUUCGACAUUAACUUGCUUUAUUUUUCUCAAACUAAUAACAGUUGCCAAUUACACCUUUUAAAACAUUACUAGUCAUACAAAUUCUUAAAAUAAUCACCCAUUAACUCAUUAUCCAAUCAACAAUUUCAAAAAUACCCCAUCCAAACACUCUCUUAAAAAAGAUGAGUACACAAAAAGAGGAGAGAUGAGUAGAGAGUAAAAAAAAGGUGAGAAAUAUAGUAGAGAGAUAGAAAAGAGAGAAAUAUAUUUUUUGGGUGCAAAAAAAAAAUUUUAACAAUUAAAAGCUCUUGUGAGGUUAAAUGACAUUUCUGGUAUUGCGGAACGCCACUAAUAUGCGUUCAGAGUAAAAAAUAAAAAACAACCAUCAACUCAUUUUUCUCCAAUUUGGAGAGACUAUGAAAAGUUGUGGGUCUCACCCGCUCUCUUUCUUGGCCCUCUCUUAGAGCAUCUCCAACCAUGGGUUGCUUCAACAUUAUUUUGGUGGGUCCAAACUGUCACAUAGGAUUUAAGCAACUAAUGCAGAUUUCGCUCCAACCAAGGUUUCUUAUUUUACUUUUGGUUGGGUCUCACUAUAUCUGAUAUAUUUAUACUAUUUUAAAAUCAUGACACUAUUCAAGUUUAUGAAUGAAAGAGAAAAAAAAUAUAUUUUUAGUCCAAAAGUAAUUAGAAAGAGAAUAAGCAAAAUGUUACUAAAAUUUAAGCAACCAGAAUUGUCAUGUCAUGGUGCUCCGAAAUAAGCAACGUUGCUUAAGUGCUCCAACUAGAUUAAGCAACCUUCAUUGAAGAUAUUCUUAAAGAAACAAAACAUUGAAGAGGAAUAUGAAGAAGAAGAAAAAAAUUGGGAGAUAUAAGUGAUGUGAUGAGAAAAUGAAAAGACGUGUGAAGAAAAAGUCAGGGAAAAUUGAUAGAAAGAGAAAGAAAUGUGUGAAACCAUAUAUUAAACAUAAUAAUAUGUGUACAAUCAAACGGUGCAUAAUUAGGGACACCACCUAAUUAUAUCUAUUUAUCUCUUUUUUCCGGUCAUAUUGAAUCAUAUAUCACAUAUAUAUUGUUUUUCUCUCUUCUCAUCCUAUCUAUUGCUAUUGGUGUACAUCAUAAUUGUUCCUUUACUAACCAUAGCUAAGUGAUUGACUUGCUUUCCUUAUCAGUUAGAGCUGUAAUGUAGUAAAUGCCAAAUACUCUACAAUAUAACAAUCCCUCUCUCUCUCUCUCUCACACACACAAACACCAACAGAACAGACCAGAGAAGCCAAGAUACCAGCUCAAGAUUAGGUCUCAAACAUCAAACAAGCAAAUUAACACAAUCCAGUGAAUCCACCAAAUAAGUAAGUAGUACUAGUAGAAACCUGAACCUAUUUCUUUCCUCUUAAACUGAUGCAAUGAUCAAAACAGGAACUACCUUAUUAGCCAUAGCCACCUCUUACUUGUUGCUUCUCUUUACACAAACCCCAAAAUCUACCUAUCAUUCUCUCUUCAUCUCCAACUCCCUAUCAGACAAUGCCUCCAUAGCUCACCACCUUCAAACUCUCACCCGCAGACCUCACAUAGCAGGCUCUGAAGCCAACGCAGAAGCUGCAGCUUAUGUUCACUCAGUCCUCACCUCCUGCAACAUACCAACCCACUUUGCUUCCUAUCAAGUUUCCCUCUCAUACCCUCUUUCUCGCUCCUUGGUGCUCACAAACCCGCCACCAGAACCCACCACAAACUUCCUUCUCCACCAAGAAAUCUACAAGGGUGAUCCUUAUGCUGAUGUUGCAGAUGAAGUUGUUCCUACAUUCCACGCAUAUGCCAAGUCAGGCACUGCAACUGGCCCUGUGGUUUAUGUGAACUAUGGAAGAGUGGAGGACUAUUUGACACUGGGAAAGAUGGGGGUCAACGUUUCAGGAACUGUGGUAUUGGCAAAGUAUGGGAAAAUCUACAGAGGGGACAUUGUGAGGAAUGCAUAUGAUGCAGGUGCUGCAGGGGUGGUGAUAUAUUCAGAUAGGAAGGACUACGGUGGUGCUGGCAAGGCGCGGUGUUUCCCGGAUGAGAAGUGGUUGCCGCCGAGCGGGGUUCAGACGGGGUCGGUGUAUUUGGGGGCAGGGGACCCUACAACACCUGGUUGGGCGAGUAGUGGUGAAUGUGAGAGGCUGUCCAAGGAUGAGGUGGAGAAGGAAGGUGAUGUUCCUUUGAUACCUUCAUUGCCAGUGUCAGCUGCAGAUGGUGAAAAGAUAUUGAAGUCAAUUGGUGGCCCUGUUGCUCAGGAUGAUUGGCAAGGAAGCAAAGAUGCACCAAUUUACAGGGUUGGACCAGGACCUGGAAUUCUCAACCUCAGUUACGCGGUAUGUUAUCAAUCUAGUAGUUUCAGUGAAUUUGUUACACUUAUUGGUUAGCCAUUCUUUUUUGUUGCAUUUCAUAAACUGUUAUGGCCUGGUGAAAACUUCACAUGAAUGCAAAAGAGCCUUCUAGUGUUAUCUGAAUGUUCAAUCA